GACGAACGCUGGCGGCGUGCUUAACACAUGCAAGUCGAACGGUGAAAGCGGAGCUUGCUCCGCUGGAUUAGUGGCGAACGGGUGAGUAACACGUGAGCAAUCUGCCCUGGACUCUGGGAUAAGCGUUGGAAACGACGUCUAAUACCGGAUACGAGACGCGAAGGCAUCUUCAGCGUCUGGAAAGAACUUCGGUCCAGGAUGAGCUCGCGGCCUAUCAGCUAGUUGGUGAGGUAACGGCCCACCAAGGCGACGACGGGUAGCCGGCCUGAGAGGGUGACCGGCCACACUGGGACUGAGACACGGCCCAGACUCCUACGGGAGGCAGCAGUGGGGAAUAUUGCACAAUGGGCGCAAGCCUGAUGCAGCAACGCCGCAUGAGGGACGACGGCCUUCGGGUUGUAAACCUCUUUUAGCAGGGAAGAAGCGAAAGUGACGGUACCUGCAGAAAAAGCACCGGCUAACUACGUGCCAGCCGCCGCCGUAAAAC
rnacentral:rRNA from 1 species